rnacentral:snRNA from 1 species
AUACUUACCUGGCAGGGGAGAUACUAUGGUCAUAAAGGUGUUUUUCCCAGGGCAAGGCUUAUCCAUUGCACUCCGGAUGUGCUGACUCCUGCGAUUUCCCCAAAUGUGGGAAACUCGACUGCAUAAUUUGUGGUUGUGGGGGACUGUGUGUGUGCUUUCCCUUG